CACAUGCAAGUCUCAGCACCCCAGUGAAAAUGCCCACUGAAUCCCAAACAGGCCGCCGGAGCAGGUAUCAGGCUCAACCAACACUAGCCCAGCACGCCUUGCUAUGCCACACCCCCACGGGUACUCAGCAGUGAUUAACUUUAACCAUAAGCGAAAGCUUGACUUAGCUAUGAUUAACAAAAGUCGGUAAAUUUCGUGCCAGCCACCGCGGUUACACGAAAGACUUAAUACAAUGACAGUCGGCGUAAAGCGUGACUAUAGUAAUUAUCAAAACUUUAAAGAUAAGCCACUACAAAGCCGUAAAACGCCACUAUAAGUGACAAACCCCUCAGAGUCUUU
rnacentral:rRNA from 1 species